rnacentral:tRNA from 1 species
UCUAAUAUGGCAGAUAAGUGCAGUGGGUUUAAGCUUCACAUAUAAAGUUUCUAACUUUUAUUAGAA